CCAAUAGCGUAUAUUAAAGUUGUUGCAGUUAAAAAGCUCGUAGUUGAACUUCGGGGUUUACUCAUUGGUCAGGCUUAAUUGUCUGUACUGGUGAGAUGAAUCUCUACCUUCUGAGGAACUUUCAUGUCAUUUAUUUGGUGUGAUUGGAAAUCAGGACUGUUACUUUGAAAAAAUUAGAGUGUUUAAAGCAGGCUAACGUCUGAAUACAUUAGCAUGGAAUAAUGAAAUAUGACGGACUGAUUCUAUUUCGUUGGUUUCUAGGAUCACCGUAAUGAUUAAUAGAGAUAGUUGGGGGCAUUAGUAUUCAAUUGUCAGAGGUGAAAUUCUUGGAUUUAUUGAAGACUAACUACUGCGAAAGCAUUUGCCAAGGAUGUUUUCAUUAAUCAAGAACGAAAGUUAGGGGAUCGAAGACGAUCAGAUACCGUCGUAGUCUUAACCAUAAACUAUGCCGACUAGGGAUCGGAUGAUGUUAAUUUUUUAAUGACUCAUUCGGCGCCUUACG
rnacentral:rRNA from 1 species